GAAAGUUACAACCGGUACCCAUAAAAACAUACAACGUCUGAAAGUGAAUUACUUAUUUUACUUAAUUAAUUCAUUAAAAAACUCAAAAUUCACCCAUAUCCCUAAUGAUGUAAUAAAAAAUUCAAGUAUUCGAUAAGGGAACCCUGAAACUCGUAUAAAUGAACUGACGAGCCUCGGUUUGUAUCAUAACGCUUGCAAUCGUCAAGAUGUACUGGUUAAUCUUGUUGUCCUGUUGUGUCGUGUUGUGUGCUGGUUAUAACGAAGAACCAUCCUGCGGUGAAAAUGAAGAAUACACGGAGUGCAAAAGGUCCUGCCCUCCCGAAAUAUGUUUCUCAAUCUCCGCCUUCUACGAUUGUGACGUGAACGAAACUUGCGAGAAGGGUUGUGCUUGCAAACCUGGGUAUUUGAGAAAAAGGAUGGAUUCACCCUGUGUACCAACUUGCCAAUGCCCACAAAUGAUAAAUUCUUCGGACUGUCAGAAGAAGAAAGACUGAGGAACUUUCUUCAGAAGAAAGAAGAGUAAAAUUGCUGACUUUGAAAUACUUAGAAGGUAUAGACGCGUAGAAAGAAGUUCAUAAUGUUAUGAUUAAUCUUUAUAGUCCAACAUAUGAUAGUGGAAUGUAGGUACUAUGCAUGUAUUCGACUAAGUACCUAAUUAGGUAGGUCCAUAGGGCACUUACGUCUUCUAGAUUUAAAUGUCUGCUACUCAUAGCUCAGUAGGUUA
rnacentral:misc_RNA from 1 species